UACGGAGGAUGCAAGCGUUAUCCGGAAUGAUUGGGCGUAAGCGUCCGCAGGUGGCGAUGUAAGUCUGCUGUUAAAGAGUGAGGCUCAACCUCAUAAGAGCAGUGGAAACUACAUAGCUAGAGUGCGGUAGGGGCAGAGGGAAUUCCUGGUGUAGCGGUGAAAUGCGUAGAGAUCAGGAAGAACACCGGUGGCGAAAGCGCUCUGCUGGACCUUAACUGACACUGAGGGACGAAAGCUAGGGGAGCGAAUGGG
rnacentral:rRNA from 1 species